AAGUAUUCCAGAAAAGAAAAAUAAAUCUUCAAGGGGUUUAAAAAAUCGUCAGCAUCAAAGAAAAAACAAAAGGAACUUGAAGAAUAUGAAGAAUUUAAAAAAAAAUAAGAACAGAAUUAGUAGAGAACGAAGACAUAAUGUAAGGGAGACUAAUGAUUUAUAUGGAAGUUUAAAGUCUUCAUCAUCCCUUGAAGAGAUUAAAAAUCUUGCUGAAAAUCUCAUUUCGAAGAUUGAUCAUUUAGGAGAAUCUAUCAAAAAGCAUCGAAUAAAACGAAAUCCUCAUAAGUUAUCUACGAAUGUUCACUCUAAAGAUAAUUCUAUUUCUUAAGGACAAUAAGAGAUUUAAUUAAUUCAUCAAAUGGGCUCAUAAAAUACAUAAAAAAGAAAUAAAAAAAUCAAAAGGAAAAAAGGUAAAAAACACACAAAUAAACUGAAUUAAGGAAUUGCUCAGUUACUUAUGGAAAAGAAUGAUUGAUAGAAUACUUUUGAAGAUAUGAUUAAGAAUUUCCAAAGAUGCAGGAAAAGAAACUAUCGUCAACUUUCAUUUGAA